GGUAGAUCUUACCAAGACAAGGCUGGCUUUUCAGCGACCCUCAUGGGUCUCCAUCAAGUUCUUAUGGCUGUGGCAGCUAUCUGCAGUGAGGAGGUUAAGGGUGCACAAGCAUUUGGGAGAGGAUAGCCAGGACUGGUGACCCCAGCUGACCAAGAGAUAUUCUAGACCUUACCAAGUCAUGCUCAGCACUACAGACUGGGUGGACAUUUGCCAAGACUGCCAUUGCCAGGGGACUGGCUGGGAAUCAGUGGGCUGGUGAGCUCAUAAAGUGGUGGCUCAGUCACUUAAAUCAACUUUGUUCUGAGACUUGGAAUGGCCACAACAUUGACUACAUAACCAUGCCCAGCAGUAUAGAGGAUGGCAUAUCUGUUUGCUAUAUAAAAAGGCAAGAUGUAACAUAGACUUCAUUCCUUAUAUCCUCUGUCCACAGUAAAGUCUUUAAA